AUGCAUCUACUGAUAGACCAGAAAGAAAACAGACUUUUUGGUUUGCAAAUAGAUGCAAAAUAAAAUGUCUCCCAUUCACUAUCUGUUUGCUUUCCCGUGACAAUUCAGAUUGAAUAAGGGUGAACAUAU